rnacentral:rRNA from 1 species
GAUGAACGCUGGCGGCGUGCCUAAUACAUGCAAGUCGAGCGAACGGACGAGAAGCUUGCUUCUCUGAUGUUAGCGGCGGACGGGUGAGUAACACGUGGAUAACCUACCUAUAAGACUGGGAUAACUUCGGGAAACCGGAGCUAAUACCGGAUGAUAUUUUGAACCGCAUGGUUCAAAAGUGAAAGAAGGUAUUGCUGUCACUUAUAGAUGGAUCCGCGCUGCAUUAGCUAGUUGGUAAGGUAACGGCUUACCAAGGCAACGAUGCAUAGCCGACCUGAGAGGGUGAUCGGCCACACUGGAACUGAGACACGGUCCAGACUCCUACGGGAGGCAGCAGUAGGGAAUCUUCCGCAAUGGGCGAAAGCCUGACGGAGCAACGCCGCGUGAGUGAUGAAGGUCUUCGGAUCGUAAAACUCUGUUAUUAGGGAAGAACAUAUGUGUAAGUAACUGUGCACAUCUUGACGGUACCUAAUCAGAAAGCCACGGCUAACUACGUG